GCCCCCUAAAAAUAUGAGUUAAGUUGGUAGAGCAUGAGGCUCUUAAUCUCGGGGUCCUGGGUUUGAGCCCCACGCGGGGCA